rnacentral:rRNA from 1 species
AGUGAACGCUGGCGGCGUGCUUAACACAUGCAAGUCGAACGAGAACGGAUUAUAGCUUGCUAUAAUUGUCAGCUAAGUGGCGCACGGGUGAGUAAUAUAUAGGUAACGUGCCCUAGAGAGGGGGAUAACAGUUGGAAACGAUUGCUAACACCCCAUAUGCCUUUAUCCCAUAAGGGAGCAAGGGAAAUAUUUAUAGCUCUAGGAUCGGCCUGUACAGUAUCAGUUAGUUGGUGAGGUAAUGGCUCACCAAGACAAUGACGCUUAACUGGUUUGAGAGGAUGAUCAGUCACACUGGAACUGAGACACGGUCCAGACUCCUACGGGAGGCAGCAGUGGGGAAUAUUGCACAAUGGACGAAAGUCUGAUGCAGCAACGCCGCGUGGAGGAUGACACAUUUCGGUGCGUAAACUCCUUUUAUAUAGGAAGAUAAUGACGGUACUAUAUGAAUAAG